rnacentral:rRNA from 1 species
AACAAACGCUGGCGGCGUGCCUAACACAUGCAAGUCGUACGAGAAAGGGUCCUUCGGGGCCUGAGUAAAGUGGCGCACGGGUGAGUAACGCGUGGAUAAUCUGCCCUUCAGUUGGGAAUAACUCAUCGAAAGGUGGGCUAAUACCGAAUAAUGCUGUGAGACCUCGGUUGAUCAGCCAAAGAGAGCCUCUGCUUGCAAGCCCUCGCUGAAGGAUGAGUCCGCGUACCAUUAGCUAGUUGGUAGGGUAAUGGCCUACCAAUGCGACGAUGGUUAGCUGGUCUGCGAGGAUGAUCAGCCACACUGGAACUGAGACACGGUCCAGACUCCUACGGGAGGCAGCAGUGAGGAAUCUUGCGCAAUGGGGGCAACCCUGACGCAGCAACGCCGCGUGAGUGAGGAAGGUCUUCGGAUCGUAAAGCUCUGUCGGAUGGAAAGAACCGCAUAGGGGUAAACAGCCCCUGUGUCUGACGGUACCAUCAAAGGAAGCACCGGCUAACUCCGUGCCAGCAGCCGCCGUAACAC